UACGUAGGGGGCGAGCGUUGUCCGAAGUUACUGGGCGUAAAGCGCGCGUAGGCGGGGGGUUAAGUGAGAGGUGAAAGGCUGGGGCUCAACCUCAGUAGUGCCUCUCAUACUGGCCUUCUUGAGGGCGGUAGGGAGAAGUGGAAUGGCUGGUGUAGCGGUGAAAUGCGUAGAUAUCAGGAGGAACACCGGUGGCGAAGGCGGGUCUCUGGGCCGAUACUGACGCUGAGGCACGAAAGCCAGGGGAGCAAACGGG
rnacentral:rRNA from 1 species